CGUUGACUUAAUGUUAUGCAGGACACAAUAGCAGUUAAUAAAUUUCUACAUUUAAAUUCACUAACCGGUCGAAUUGUUAGCUUUCCAAUAAUAGGGAUGGCUAAAGUCCAGUUCAGAGAUCUAUUAGAAUCUUUGAUGUGUCGCAGAUGCCGCACUAACUAGUCCGUGCGCCUAUGUCAUAUUUAUUGUUGCAUGAUAUAUAUGUUUAAAUGGCAAAAUUUUAUAUUGUCUAUCUAUGAAAUCAUUUUAAAUAUACGUAAAACCCCAUGUUUUAUACUAUUUUUUAUUUUUCUUUCGAAAAUGUCAAUUUUUAGAAAGAAAAUAAUAUCACAAGAAAAUAAUAUCAAAAAAUUGAUCGCGGACUAAAAUUCAAGCAUCUUACAAAAUAUUUUAAACACUUCCAGCACUCACAGACUUGUCACCUCUUUUUAGCCAGUCUAUUAAACAAAGAUAAAACACCUGCGUUCUGACAAUUCCUACUUUAGGCUGUGCAAGUGAUUGUGUAUCUCUCUCUAUUCCACUGGAUUUAAGAAUUACGGGGCCGUACCCAAAUAAAUUUUUGGACCGUUUUUGUAUUAUUUUCGUCGUGUUUUUAAAGAGAUCUUUACGGAUCGGUCUAUCGCCUUUAAAAUAGUUGUUGGAUGGGUCUAUCAGCUUUAAUAGUUGGAAGGGGGGCCAUGUGAGGUUAUUAUUUGAUGUGUUUUGCCGGUUAUGCUUUUUACACGUUUAUGAAAGUAAAGAAUUUAGAAUUUGGCCUGUAUUCCUGUAAAUUUUUUGCAGUUUGUAUUGUGAGGAACAGUGUUUUUUUAUUUGUGUUUGUGGAUUUGUUUUGGUAUUAUACCUAAAGACCUUAAAAUGUUUCGACCCUGGAAAAAUAGGCAGGAAAAUUUGGCAAAUGAAGAGGAAAGUGUUUGUGCGGGCUUAUGGAGACCGUGGGUGUACAAGAAAGACAAUAACAUUUGUGAUAAAAACAAUAAGAGUGAUCUGGGCAGUGAUUUAGACUUAUAGUUCUGAUAGUUCAUUUUCUAGUAUUGAGGAAGCAAAAAGAAGCAAGGGAAGUAGAAGCUACAGAGGAAAUCAAGCAGUUUUAAAAGAACAAAUUUAUCUAAAUAUCUAUAACAAUCUAAGGAAUGAUACUUAGUUCACAAAUGAUUGUAGUGCUUUGCAAAAAAUAGCGUUUUUAACAGGGGUUCCCUAUAGUACAAUAUGCCUGUAAAAAAAAGGAUUAAAGACAGAAUAAAAAGGAAAGAUGCAGGACAAUCAAAGGGACUUGACAUGGAUGUUGCCAAAUUGCUAAGGAAAGGUGUGUAUUCUAAAUACAAAAACAAUGAGGUUCUGACCAUAUAGACACCUUAUCGGCAAGGGACAAACAUUUCUCAGUCUCAACCUUGCGGAGAUACCUGAUAAAACUUGGAUUUAAGCUUAAGAUGAUUAACAAAAGAGCUGCUGUAAUGGAAUUGUCAGGUGGUGUAUAGAAUAUUUGAGGAAAAUUAAAAAAAUUUGGGAGGAAGAAAGAUCCAUAUUAUUAUUUAGCCGAAACAUGAUAUGAUACAUUUAUGAUUGAUGUAUGAUUUCCAUUCUCUGGGAAAAAAGUCCCUUUUUUGCCAUAGUAAGAAAACCAUAUUUUUAUUAAUAAAACAAGUUUAAAAUUUUGUUUUUUACAGCUUACUGCCCCUGUUGUCCUUCAGUGAUACAAUAAAGACUGCUUCUUCCACCAUUCUCUGGAAAAAACCCUGUUUUGCUAUGCUUAUUACCCCUGUUGUCCUUCAGCAACACAAUGAAGACUGCUUCUUCCUCCAUUUUUUGGAAAAAAGUCCCUUUUUUGCCAUACUUACUGCCCCUGUUUGUCCUUCAGCAACACAAUAAAGUAUAUAUAAUGUAAUGCUUUAGAAUCCAUAUGCUGAUGUGCGAGAUGAAGUUGGAAUCCAUGGCGGCAACAGAGAAACUGUUUCCUUCCUUAAUGGAAGAAACUGCUAAAGAACAAUGGCAAAAAAACAGAAUUUACAAAAAUUGUAUUAACUUUUUGGGCCAGAUUCAAAAGAGUGGUUAAAUUUAUAAAAGUAUUUAGUAUCCUCACUGUAGUUUUAGGAUCCAGUAUACUUAAAAUGUAGUGUUUUGUAUAAGAUUUUUAGUUUUUAGUAUAAGCAUUUAUUUUUAUUAAUUUUUAUCUAAUCUCUCCUAAUAUGCAUAAUAACUAAAUAUGAG
rnacentral:lncRNA from 1 species